rfam:Xenopus laevis strain J chromosome 2L, whole genome shotgun sequence.
UGUAGGGUGGCAAUGAAACCGUUACCAUUACUGAGUUUAGUAAUGGUAAGGGUUCUGUUGCUGCUCUUCCA